UUUAAAGACCUUUUUUCUUUGUGACAGGGUGCAGUCUUCAUAGGCAUUCCGGCUUAAGUUGAAACUUGUUUAUCAGGAAGUUUGAACAAGCUGUUUAUUGGCUUACAAUGCUUCUUUACGUAAAACAAGUUUUUACUAAAUUUAGUCUUGUGCCCAGCAGCUUUGUGUUAAAAACAGUUUUCCUUUCACUUUCUGACAGGUGCAGCAGUGACAACAGUGGAACAAAAGUGACUGUGUUGAGCAUUGAUCAUGCAAUCAUCAUGGGACAGCUACAUGAUCGCCCUGGGAUAUGAUCUAAAGGGCUUUAGUGUUGUCAAACACUUUGAUGAAGACUACAAUGGAAAUUCUGAGAUUGGAGAUCUCUUUACCGUGCAAUCAAGAUUCAAAGGCCUCUAUCAUGCUGGCGUGUGCUAUGAUGAAGAUCUGAUUGUUCAUUUCAUAAUGAAUGAGAGUCCAAAUGAGAGUGGGCACAGCUCAAGUAGUUCAUUUACACUCUCUUCCAGUUCCAGUCCAGGUCAUAUAGAAAUUGUGGCUGUGGAAGAAUUUUCUAGAGGAGAAAAAUUUGCAAUUCGCAGGAAGAAUGAUGGAAUCGAUGUACAAACAUUUAAAGUAAAUGUUAGAAAACAAAUGAAGGAAAAACGCAUGUAUAAUAUUUUGAACUCCAACUGCAUUCAUUUUGCCAUGGAGAUUCUUGGGCUGAAGAAGUGUUGAUCUUAACAAUCUUGUUUUAAGUCAGUAAUCCUGAUCAACUGACUGGAUGCUGUUGCUGUUGGACGGACAGACGGGUCACACCUCUGAUGAUGAUAGAGUAGAUUUCAUUCUGUUUCACAUGUUGAUGGGUUUCAUCAACAUUAUUUCUGCUGUAUUUGAUCUACAAAAACAAUAAAUUUCAUUUGACUAUUA